rnacentral:misc_RNA from 1 species
CCAAACUUGGUCAUUUAGAGGAAGUAAAAGUCGUAACAAGGUCUCCGUAGGUGAACCUGCGGAGGGAUCAUUAACGAGUUAGGGUCUUCUCAGGCCCGACCUCCCAACCCUUUGUCUAUCAUACCUGUGUUGCUUCGGCGGGCCCGUCUUCGGACCGUCGGAGGGUGCGUCACACCGCCCUCUGGCCAGCUGCCCGCCGGUGGCCCAACCUUUAAAACUCUUGAAAAGAAUCGUGUCUUUGUCUGAGUCUUAAUUAAAUUAAAGCAAAACUUUCAACAACGGAUCUCUUGGUUCUGGCAUCGAUGAAGAACGCAGC